rnacentral:rRNA from 1 species
GACUCCUACGGGAGGCAGCAGUGAGGAAUAUUGGUCAAUGGACGAGAGUCUGAACCAGCCAAGUAGCGUGAAGGAUGACUGCCCUAUGAGUUGUAAACCGCUUUUGUACGAGGGUAAACUCACCUACGUGUAGGUGACUGAAAGUAUCGUACGAAUAAGGAUCGGCUAACUCCGUGCCAGCAGCCGCGGUAAUA